rnacentral:rRNA from 1 species
AAGCUUUCCGUGGUGAACCUGCGGAAGGAUCAUUACUGAGUGCGGGCUGCCUCCGGGCGCCCAACCUCCCACCCGUGAAUACCUAACACUGUUGCUUCGGCGGGGAACCCCCUCGGGGGCGAGCCGCCGGGGACUACUGAACUUCAUGCCUGAGAGUGAUGCAGUCUGAGUCUGAAUAUAAAAUCAGUCAAAACUUUCAACAAUGGAUCUCUUGGUUCCGGCAUCGAUGAAGAACGCAGCGAACUGCGAUAAGUAAUGUGAAUUGCAGAAUUCAGUGAAUCAUCGAGUCUUUGAACGCACAUUGCGCCCCCUGGCAUUCCGGGGGGCAUGCCUGUCCGAGCGUCAUUGCUGCCCAUCAAGCCCGGCUUGUGUGUUGGGUCGUCGUCCCCCCCGGGGGACGGGCCCGAAAGGCAGCGGCGGCACCGUGUCCGGUCCUCGAGCGUAUGGGGCUUUGUCACCCGCUCGACUAGGGCCGGCCGGGCGCCAGCCGACGUCUCCAACCAUUUUUCUUCAGGUUGACCUCGGAUCAGGUAGGGAUACCCGCUGAACUUAAGCAUAUCAAUAAGCGGAGGAGGAUCC